rnacentral:tRNA from 1 species
GCGGACGUGGUGGAAUUGGUAGACACACUGGAUUUAGGUUCCAGCGCCGCAAGGCGUGAGAUUCGAGUCUCUCCGUCCGCACCA